AUUGAACGCUGGCGGCAGGCCUAACACAUGCAAGUCGAACGGUAACAGGAAGCAGCUUGCUGCUUCGCUGACGAGUGGCGGACGGGUGAGUAAUGUCUGGGAAACUGCCUGAUGGAGGGGGAUAACUACUGGAAACGGUAGCUAAUACCGCAUAACGUCGCAAGACCAAAGAGGGGGACCUUAGGGCCUCUUGCCAUCGGAUGUGCCCAGAUGGGAUUAGCUAGUAGGUGGGGUAACGGCUCACCUAGGCGACGAUCCCUAGCUGGUCUGAGAGGAUGACCAGCCACACUGGAACUGAGACACGGUCCAGACUCCUACGGGAGGCAGCAGUGGGGAAUAUUGCACAAUGGGCGCAAGCCUGAUGCAGCCAUGCCGCGUGUAUGAAGAAGGCCUUCGGGUUGUAAAGUACUUUCAGCGGGGAGGAAGGGAGUAAAGUUAAUACCUUUGCUCAUCGACGUUACCCGCAGAAGAAGCACCGGCUAACUCCGUG
rnacentral:rRNA from 1 species